rnacentral:rRNA from 1 species
UGUGAACUGCAGGACACAUGAACAUCGACAUUUCGAACGCACAUUGCGGUCCAUGGAUUCCGUUCCCGGGCCACGUCUGGCUGAGGGUCGGCU